rnacentral:rRNA from 1 species
GGGUUGUGAGGUUAAGCGACUAAGCGUACACGGUGGAUGCCCUGGCAGUCAGAGGCGAUGAAGGACGUGCUAAUCUGCGAUAAGCGUCGGUAAGGUGAUAUGAACCGUUAUAACCGGCGAUUUCCGAAUGGGGAAACCCAGUGUGAUUCGUCACACUAUCAUUAACUGAAUCCAUAGGUUAAUGAGGCGAACCGGGGGAACUGAAACAUCUAAGUACCCCGAGGAAAAGAAAUCAACCGAGAUUCCCCCAGUAGCGGCGAGCGAACGGGGAGCAGCCCAGAGUCUGAAUCAGUGUGUGUGUUAGUGGAAGCGUCUGGAAAGGCGCGCGAUACAGGGUGACAGCCCCGUACACAAAAAUGCACAUGCUGUGAGCUCGAUGAGUAGGGCGGGACACGUGGUAUCCUGUCUGAAUAUGGGGGGACCAUCCUCCAAGGCUAAAUACUCCUGACUGACCGAUAGUGAACCAGUACCGUGAGGGAAAGGCGAAAAGAACCCCGGCGAGGGGAGUGAAAAAGAACCUGAAACCGUGUACGUACAAGCAGUGGGAGCACGCUUAGGCGUGUGACCGCGUACCUUUUGUAUAAUGGGUCAGCGACUUAUAUUCUGUAGCAAGGUUAACCGAAUAGGGGAGCCGAAGGGAAACCGAGUCUUAACUGGGCGUUAAGUUGCAGGGUAUAGACCCGAAACCCGGUGAUCUAGCCAUGGGCAGGUUGAAGGUUGGGUAACACUAACUGGAGGACCGAACCGACUAAUGUUGAAAAAUUAGCGGAUGACUUGUGGCUGGGGGUGAAAGGCCAAUCAAACCGGGAGAUAGCUGGUUCUCCCCGAAAGCUAUUUAGGUAGCGCCUCGUGAACUCAUCUCCGGGGGUAGAGCACUGUUUCGGCAAGGGGGUCAUCCCGACUUACCAACCCGAUGCAAACUGCGAAUACCGGAGAAUGU